AUGACAUUCCGCAACAGCACCUCUAAACCAUCGUCCGAACUUCAUUUCAGUGAUUCUUCAUCAUUGCCAUUCUCCCUCUUUAACCUUUCUCACGCCUCUUACAAUCUCUUUCUCUCUCAUUCCAAAUCCGUGCUUCCUGCUAUCACCGGCUCUUCUCUCAAAACUACCCACAAUUCAUCUCCCAAUUUUAACACCAACCCAACACCACCUUUUCUCAGCAAAAUCGAUUUUGAUGAACAAGAAGAUGAAGAUGAACAACAACGUCACCAACAAUAA